rnacentral:rRNA from 1 species
GACGAACGCUGGCGGCAUGCCUAAUACGUGCAAGUCGAGCGGAGUUGAUGGAAAGCUUGCUUUCAUGAUACUUAGCGGCGGACGGGUGAGUAACACGUAGGCAACCUGCCCUCAAGCUUGGGACAACUACCGGAAACGGUAGCUAAUACCGAAUACUUGUUUUCUUCGCCUGAAGAGAACUGGAAAGACGGAGCAAUCUGUCACUUGGGGAUGGGCCUGGGGCGCAUUAGCUAGUUGGUGAGGUAACGGCUCAACAAGGCGCCGAUGGUUAGCCGACCUGAUAGGGUGUUCGACCACACUGGGACGGAGACACGGCCCAGACUCCUACGGGAGGCAGCAGUAGGGAAUCUUCCGCAAUGGGCGAAAGCCUGACGGUGCAAUGCCGCGUGAGUGAUGAAGGUUUUCGGAUCGUAAAGCUCUGUUGCCAGGGAAGAACGCUUGGGAGAGUAACUGCUCCCAAGGUGACGGUACCUGAGAAGAAAGCCCCGGCUAACUACGUGCCAGCCGCCGCCGUAA